rnacentral:rRNA from 1 species
UACGGGGGGAGCAAGCGUUGUUCGGAUUUACUGGGCGUAAAGGGCGCGUAGGCGGCCACCGCAAGUCAGUUGUGAAAUCUCUGGGCUUAACCCAGAAAGGUCAACUGAUACUGCGGGGCUAGAGUGCAGAAGGGGCAACUGGAAUUCUCGGUGUAGCGGUGAAAUGCGUAGAUAUCGAGAGGAACACCUGCGGCGAAGGCGGGUUGCUGGACCGGCAUUGACGCUGAGGAGCGAAAGCUAGGGGAGCAAACGGG